rnacentral:misc_RNA from 1 species
GAUGAAGAACGUAGCGAAAUGCGAUAAGUAAUGUGAAUUGCAGAAUUCAGUGAAUCAUCGAAUCUUUGAACGCACCUUGCACCCUUUGGCAUUCCGAAGGGUAUGCUCGUUUGAGUGUCAUUGUACUCUCACACUCUCCGAUCCUAUGGAUUCGGGGAGCGGUGGACUUGGGUGUUGCUGCCUUUCCCUGUGGCUCACCUCAAAUGCGUCAGUGCACCUCUUGGUUGGACAUAGUACGGCGUGAUAAGUGUCUUCGCCGGCACCUCGCAAGAGGGUGGCCGAUCGGGAGCUCUGCGCUUUCAAACCGUCUUCGGACAAUUUCUGACAUCUUGACCUCAAAUCGAGUAGGACUACCCGCUGAACUUAAGCAUACCAAUAAGCGGAGGA